UGAUCAUGGCUCAGAUUGAACGCUGGCAGGAUCUUUACACAUGCAAGUCGAACGGCAGCACCGGACUUCGGUCUGGUAGUAGUGGCGAACGGGUGAACGUGUUAUCGGAACGUGCCUAGUAGCGGGGGAUAACUACGCGAAAGCUGUGGCUGAUACCACAUACGCCCUUCGGGGGAAAGCAGAGGGGACCUUCGGGCCUCGCACUAUUAGAGCGGCCACGAUAUCGGUUCCAGCUAGUUGGUGGGGUAACGGCUCGCAAGGCGACGAUCCGUAGCUGGUUUGGGGAACGACCAGCCACACUGGGACUGAGACACGGCCCAGACUCCUACGGGAGCUGACGUGGGGAAUUUUGGACAAUGGGGAAACCCUGAUCCAGCCAUCCCGCGUGUGCGAUGAAGGCCUUCGGGUUGUAAAGCACUUUUGGCAGGAAAAGGAGAAACGGCACGGGAUAAUACCAUUGCAGCUGACGGUAUAAGAUAACCGGCAUAACUACGUGCCAAACAUACGUUAAUAUACGUAAGGGUGCAAGCGUUAAUCAGGAUUCACUGGGCGUAAAGCGUGCGCGGCGGUUCAGAAGAAAGGAUGUGAAAUCAGGCUUAACUUUGGAACUGCAUUUUUAACUACCGAGCUAGAGUGUGUCAGAGGAGGUGGAGCUAGCGUGUAGCAAUUGAAAUGCGUAGAUAUGCGGAGGAACACCGAUGGCGAGAAGCAGCCUCCUGGGAUUGGCUGUCAUGCGGCGUGGGGAGCAAACAGGAUUAGAUGCCUGGUAGUCCACGCCUAAACGAUCAUCAGCUGGCUGUUGGGGCCUUCUGGACUGGUGGCGCAGCUAACGUGAGGAUGAUGUACAAGUUUCGAUGCCAGAUUAAAGCCUCAAAGGAAUUAUUGGGGACCCGCACAAGCGGUGGAUGAUGUGGAUUAAUUCGAUGCAACGCGAAAAACCUUACCUACCCAACAGACAUGUCUGGAAUCCCGAAAGAGAUUUGGGAGUGCUCGCAAGAGAACCGGAACACAGGUGCUGCAUGGCUGUCGUGUCGUGUCGUGAUUGGGUUCGGAUGCUGUCAACAGGCACCAGCGUUCCCACUUGUCAUUAGUUGCUACGAAGACUCUAAUAGGACUGCCGGUGACAAACCGGAGGAAGGUGGGGAUGACGUCAGUUCCCGCCGUGGCCCUUAUGGGCGGGCACCGCGUCAUACAAUGGUCAGGACAGAGGGUCGCCAACCCGCGAGGGAACCAAUCCCAGAAACCCGAUCGUAGUCCAUGCGGAUCUGAUCUGCUGGCUCGACUGCGUAGAGUCGGAUCACUAGUAAUGCAACGGAUCGCGCAUGUCGCGGUGAAUACGUUCCCGGUCAUACGCUGCCCGUCACGUAUUGGGGAGUGGGUUUUACCAGAAGUAGUUAGCCUAACCGUAAGGGCGAUUACCACGGUAGGAUUCGGCUGGGGUGAAGUCGUAACAGGUAA
rnacentral:rRNA from 1 species